rnacentral:lncRNA from 1 species
AUAGAUCAGGCCAUCGUUGUGUUGUUCUUAGUGAGAAGUGGUAAGUAAAUUCUGUCGUUAACAUAAAAAUCCUGGGGGACUUUAGGUACCUUUAUUAUGAUGAUGAUUUUUUAAUUUGAAUAUGUAUAGGACAAUCUUAAUUUAGGAUGAGAAUUUCCCACCAGGCCACUGUCCUUCCAACAUGAUGGCCAUUCAAGAACCAUUGUUGGCAUUCAAAGUAAGCCUGAGAAGAACAGGAUGCAACAAUACAACUUUCUAAUUUUGGAUGGAUCUUGAUGAAGUAAGAAAAUUUAUUUGCAUUCAUGAUCCAUCAACUAAAAUAUGAUUACCAUUGACUAUCAAUAGUGUUUCUGUAUUUAUGC